rnacentral:rRNA from 1 species
GACGAACGCUGGCGGCGUGCUUAACACAUGCAAGUCGAGCGGUAAGGCCCUUUCGGGGGUACGACGAGCGGCGAACGGGUGAGUAACACGUGGGUGACCUGCCUUUAGCUCUGGGAUAAGCCUGGGAAACUGGGUCUAAUACCGGAUACGACUCCGCGGUGCAUGCUGUGGGGUGGAAAGCCUUGUGCGGCUGGAGAUGGGCCCGCGGCCUACCAGCUUGUUGGUGGGGUGAUGGCCUACCAAGGCGACGACGGGUAGCCGGCCUGAGAGGGCGACCGGCCACACUGGGACUGAGACACGGCCCAGACUCCUACGGGAGGCAGCAGUGGGGAAUCUUGCGCAAUGGGCGAAAGCCUGACGCAGCGACGCCGCGUGAGGGAUGACGGCCU